rnacentral:lncRNA from 1 species
ACACUCUCCCUCUUGGCGAUGACCUGAGAUCCAAUCAUCACGUCUUUGCCUACUUCGCUCGGCUCAGCGCUAAACUUACACUCCAUGUAUUCAAUCUUAGAUCUGCUUAUUUUGAAACCCUUAGACUCGAGAGUCUGUCUCACUCUAACCUCUCAAUAACACCGACCCUCGUCUCGUCUAUCAAGACUAUGUCAUCAGUAA